rnacentral:rRNA from 1 species
UUACACACGCAAGUCGAACGGCAGCACGGGAGCAAUCCUGGUGGCGAGUGGCGAACGGGUGAGUAAUACAUCGGAACGUGCCCAGUAGUGGGGGAUAACCCGGCGAAAGCCGGACUAAUACCGCAUACGACCUACGGGUGAAAGCAGGGGAUCGCAAGACCUUGCGCUAUUGGAGCGGCCGAUGUCAGAUUAGCUAGUUGGUGGGGUAAAAGCCUACCAAGGCGACGAUCUGUAGCUGGUCUGAGAGGACGACCAGCCACACUGGGACUGAGACACGGCCCAGACUCCUACGGGAGGCAGCAGUGGGGAAUUUUGGACAAUGGGCGCAAGCCUGAUCCAGCCAUGCCGCGUGCGGGAAGAAGGCCUUCGGGUUGUAAACCGCUUUUGUCAGGGAAGAAACGCUCCGGGCUAAUACCCUGGAGUAAUGACGGUACCUGAAGAAUAAGCACCGGCUAACUACGUGCCAGCAGCCGCGGUAAUACGUAGGGUGCAAGCGUUAAUCGGAAUUACUGGGCGUAAAGCGUGCGCAGGCGGCUUUGCAAGACAGAUGUGAAAUUCCCGGGCUUAACCUGGGAACUGCAUUUGUGACUGCAUGGCUAGAGUGCGGCAGAGGGGGAUGGAAUUCCGCGUGUAGCAGUGAAAUGCGUAGAUAUGCGGAGGAACACCGAUGGCGAAGGCAAUCCCCUGGGCCUGCACUGACGCUCAUGCACGAAAGCGUGGGGAGCAACCAGGAUUAAAUACCCUGGUAGUCCACGCCCUAAACGAUGUCAACUGGUUGUUGGACGGCUUGCUGUUCAGUAACGAAGCUAACGCGUGAAGUUGACCGCCUGGGGAGUACGGCCGCAAGGUUGAAACUCAAAGGAAUUGACGGGGACCCGCACAAGCGGUGGAUGAUGUGGUUUAAUUCGAUGCAACGCGAAAAACCUUACCUACCCUUGACAUGUCUGGAAUCCUAGAGAGAUUUGGGAGUGCUCGAAAGAGAACCAGAACACAGGUGCUGCAUGGCCGUCGUCAGCUCGUGUCGUGAGAUGUUGGGUUAAGUCCCGCAACGAGCGCAACCCUUAUCAUUAGUUGCUACGCAAGGGCACUCUAAUGAGACUGCCGGUGACAAACCGGAGGAAGGUGGGGAUGACGUCAGGUCAUCAUGGCCCUUAUGGGUAGGGCUACACACGUCAUACAAUGGCCGGUACAGAGGGCUGCCAACCCGCGAGGGGGAGCUAAUCUCAGAAAACCGGUCGUAGUCCGGAUCGCAGUCUGCAACUCGACUGCGUGAAGUCGGAAUCGCUAGUAAUCGCGGAUCAGCUUGCCGCGGUGAAUACGUUCCCGGGUCUUGUACACACCGCCCGUCACACCAUGGGAGCGGGUUCUGCCAGAAGUAGUUAGCCUAACCGCAAGGAGGGCGAUUACCACGGCAGGGUUCGUGACUGGGGUGAAGUCGAAACAAGGUA